CUGUAUGUUGGAGGUGAUCGUUAAAGCAGCCUGAGGGAAACCUGGUUUAGUUGUAGCAUUUUAAAAAAAAAGAAAAACAUUGUGUCUAGCUAACACUGUGUUUUCUUUAAAGUAUGCUGGACUCAAGAUUCACUUUUAAACCUUAAGAGGGAGCGUUCGGGGUUUGAGAAAAGCUACUUAAUGAGGGUUUAUCAGUUGGGAAUCAUAUUCAAGUUCAUUAAUAGUGAUGGGAAUUACAGGUCUUUUUAGUGAGCCAGAUCAUCCGGCUCAGCUCAAAAAGAGGAGCUAGCUCUUUCAGCCCCCAAACAGCUCUUCAUUUUUCUAUUUAUAAAUUUUUCUAAUUCAACCAAAUGUAGCGUUGUUUUGCUUAUGAUAUGUACAUAUGUAUACAUAUACCUCUUAAAUAAUUCAAUACAUCCUUUGUACUGAAGUAUUCACAAGUCAAAAACACAUUUUCUAAUAUCAGUAAAUUGCUGUAGCCAGUUGUUUUCAUUGCAUUUACAGACCCUUGUAACUCUCUGAAACCACCCAAUGAAUAAUAAUAAAUAAUAAUAAUAAUGCAUCAACUUAAGCAUAGAAUUUAAAAAGGACAGCUAUUGAGAUUUUCAAUGUUUA